rnacentral:rRNA from 1 species
UCCGGGUUGAUCCUGCCAGAGGUUACUGCUAUCGGUGUUCGACUAAGCCAUGCGAGUCAUAUGUUCUUCGUGAACAUGGGGGACUGCUCAGUAACACGUGGAUAACCUGCCCUUAGGUUCGGCAUAACUCCGGGAAACUGGAGAUAAUUCCGAAUAGGUCACAUAUGCUGGAAUGCUUUUUGACCAAAAGACCUCGGUUGCCUAAGGAUGGAUCUGCGGUCUAUCAGGUAGUAGUGGGUGUAACGUACCUACUAG